rnacentral:rRNA from 1 species
AUUGAACGCUAGCGGGAUGCCUUACACAUGCAAGUCGAACGAAGUGGCGAACGGGUGAGUAAUGUAUCGGAACGUGCCCCGUAGCGGGGGAUAACUACGCGAAAGCGUAGCUAAUACCGCAUACUCUUGGCGCCGCCGGUAUCGGGUUAGCUAGUUGGUGGGGUAACGGCUCACCAAGGCGACGAUCCGUAGCUGGUUUGAGAGGGCGACCAGCCACACUGGGACUGAGACACGGCCCAGACUCCUACGGGAGGCAGCAGUGGGGAAUUUUGGACAAUGGGCGAAAGCCUGAUCCAGCCAUCCCGCGUGUGCGAUGAAGGCCUUCGGGUUGUAAAGCACUUUUGGCAGGAAGGCGGUACCUGCAGAAUAAGCACCGGCUAACUACGUGCCAGCAGCCGCGGUAAUAC